rnacentral:lncRNA from 1 species
AGAAGAUGGCACAAAUGAAUUUGAGAGUCCUCAGGAACAUAUGACCAUAAGAACAUAAGCCUCAUUGAAUUCACAGAUAUAUUGGUAGAGGCUUCAGUUGACCUUUCCACAUUAUAAGAGUUACAGUGUUUAUGCUAAUUUUAUUUAAAUCCCAAAGGAUGAAGUGAUCUUACCAAGAACCUGAGUUAUACCUAAACAAAGAAGAAGGAAAAACAUCUAAGAGAGAGAAGCCCAAUUAGGAGGGCUGAUGAAGAACAGGAUUCUGGGCAGGAAGAGGGUACUAUCAUGGAAGUCAGCAAAUAGGCACGUGGAAUAAGCCAGGCCAAUAUCAAAGCCAAGAAGUCCACAGAUAAGAAGCAAAUUCAAGUUCCUAGUACAGAGACAUUUGUAGUGCAGUAAUUCAAAAUAUAGCAUCUGGACCAGGCAAGAUGGCUCAUGCCUGUAAUCCCAGCAUCUUGGGAGGCCAAGGUGGGAAGAUCACUUGAAACCAGAAGCUCAAGACCAGCCUGGGUAAAAUGAGGGCAAGCACUGAGGAUCUGGAUAAGAGAAGAAUUGGUAGGAAAACUCUUCGGUGUGCCCAAGCAUCUCCAAAAUGUUUUUUCAAAAGACAGGUGGACUUUAGCCCCUAAGAAAAGAAUCUGAUGCAGUCAAUCUGGGUAGGACACAGAGGUCUGCACUUUUGUUAGUCCCCAGGUGAUUCUGGUACAGGUGGU